GGAUGAACGCUGGCGGUAUGCUUAACACAUGCAAGUCGAACGCAGUCUUCGGACUGAGUGGCGGACGGGUGAGUAACGCGUGAGAAUCUGCCUGAGGGUCGGGGACAACCACGGGAAACGGUGGCUAAUACCGGAUGUGCCGAGAGGUAAAAGACUUGUCGCCCGCAGAAGAGCUCGCGUCCGAUUAGCUAGUUGGUGAGGUAAGAGCUUACCAAGGCAACGAUCGGUAGCUGGUCUGAGAGGACAACCAGCCACACUGGGACUGAGACACGGCCCAGACUCCUACGGGAGGCAGCAGUGGGGAAUUUUCCGCAAUGGGCGCAUAGCCUGACGGAGCAAUACCGCGUGAGGGAAGAAGGCUCUUGGGUCGUAAACCUCUUUUGUCAGGGAAGAAGCAAGUGACGGUACCUGACGAAUCAGCCUCGGCUAACUCCGUGCCAGCAGCCGCGGUAAUACGGAGGAGGCAAGCGUUAUCCGGAAUUAUUGGGCGUAAAGCGUCCGCAGGUGGCCGUUCAAGUCGGCGGUCAAAGACUGGGGCUCAACUCCGGAAAGGCCGUGGAAACUGAAAGGCUAGAGGGCAGUAGGGGUAGAGGGAAUUCCCGGUGUAGCGGUGAAAUGCGUAGAGAUCGGGAAGAACAUCGGUGGCGAAAGCGCUCUGCUGGACUGCAACUGACACUGAGGGACGAAAGCUAGGGGAGCGAAUGGGAUUAGAUACCCCAGUAGUCCUAGCCGUAAACGAUGGAUACUAGGUGUGGCUUGUAUCGACCCGAGCCGUGCCGGAGCUAACGCGUUAAGUAUCCCGCCUGGGGAGUACGCACGCAAGUGUGAAACUCAAAGGAAUUGACGGGGGCCCGCACAAGCGGUGGAGUAUGUGGUUUAAUUCGAUGCAACGCGAAGAACCUUACCAGGGCUUGACAUGUCCGGAAUUCUGGGGAAACCCAGGAGUGCCUUCGGGAGCCGGAACACAGGUGGUGCAUGGCUGUCGUCAGCUCGUGUCGUGAGAUGUUGGGUUAAGUCCCGCAACGAGCGCAACCCUCGUUCUUAGUUGCCAGCCUUAAGUGGGGCACUCUAGGAAGACUGCCGGUGACAAACCGGAGGAAGGUGGGGAUGACGUCAAGUCAGCAUGCCCCUUACGUCCUGGGCUACACACGUACUACAAUGCGACGGACAAAGGGCAGCGAACUCGCGAGAGUCAGCCAAUCCCAUAAACCGUGGCGCAGUUCAGAUCGCAGGCUGCAACUCGCCUGCGUGAAGGAGGAAUCGCUAGUAAUUGCAGGUCAGCAUACUGCAGUGAAUCCGUUCCCGGGCCUUGUACACACCGCCCGUCACACCAUGGAAGCUGGUUUUGCCCGAAGUCGUUACCCUAACCUUUCGGGGAGGGGGAUGCCGAAGGCAGGGCUGGUGACUGGGGUGAAGUCGUAACAAGGUAGCCGUACCGGAAGGUGUGGCUGGAUCACCUCCUUUAC
rnacentral:rRNA from 1 species